GUAGCGCUUGUGAAGCUCCUCGUAGCCCCGCAGCUCACCGGGAACGCCGAUCCACUGACUACCUAGGGGAGUGUUGCCAUAUUGGAAACCAGCCUCCGCCGAGCCCCAUACUCUGUGGGUAGACCACGGCGGUGCACAGGAGGGCCGCGAUGGCGCCGUCUACUGCCGAGCCGCCUUGCUGCAGGACGUCCCUGGAAGACCAACGUCAUUUAGUCAGAUGCAAUUUAACGACGCUCCCUGAGUGACCUUCCCACCCCCGACCCCCCUGCUGCUGUCCUGUUCCCUCCAGUCCAGAUGCGCUUGUGUAAACCUCUUCAAGUUCACUCAGUCUUUCGUAUGACAUCCAUGUGUGGGGCCCAAAUUGUUAUGACCAUAAAUGGUAACAUGAAUGUCAUCAACAAACUCACUUGCACUGUUGCCAUGUCUCUCAGAAAGGUGUACAACAUUUUGAAAGGGUUGUUUUUUUUUUCCAGCCUGCUGAUUUUUGUUUCAGUGUUGUAGGCAAUGUCAAUCUGGCGCUUUUUUUAAUUUAACAUUUCUUACCCCGCUCAUCCACCACAAAAAAAGUGAGCCACCU